UUGACCUCGGAUCAGGUAGGACUACCCGCUGAACUUAAGCAUAUCAAUAAGCGGAGGAAAAGAAACCAACAGGGAUUGCCCCAGUAACGGCGAGUGAAGCGGCAACAGCUCAAAUUUGAAAUCUGGCCCCCCGCGGGCCCGAGUUGUACUUUGGAGAGGACGCUUCUGGCGCGGCGCCGUCCGAGUUCCCUGGAACGGGACGCCGGAGAGGGUGAGAGCCCCGUACGGGCGGCCGCCUAGCCUCUGCGAAGCUCCUUCGACGAGUCGAGUAGUUUGGGAAUGCUGCUCAAAAUGGGAGGUAAAUUUCUUCUAAAGCUAAAUACCGGCCAGAGACCGAUAGCGCACAAGUAGAGUGAUCGAAAGAUGAAAAGCACUUUGAAAAGAGGGUCAAACAGUACGUGAAAUUGUUGAAAGGGAAGCGCCUGUGGCCAGACUUGCGCCCCGCGGACCACCCGGCGCCUCGCGCGCCGGGGCACGCCAGCGGGGCGCAGGCCAGCAUCGGCUCUCUCGGGGGGACAAAGGCCGCGGGAACGUAGCGCCCUCGCGGCGUAUUAUAGCCCGCGGCGCC
rnacentral:rRNA from 1 species